GCCUGGUGUCCUUACUAAAAAAUGACCAGUGCUAGCCUAAACCUAGGGGAAAAACUUUCUGUGUUUUUAAGCCUGGGUCGUUUCUGCGGACUUGCAUGUUAUUGAAACACCUAUGCCUAAGGAGCUAAAUGAAGGUUAUGGGUCUUCAGUUAUAGUUUUUACAGACACCUCCAAAGGAUAAAGCAUUGAAAACAGAACAAAACAAUGGGAAAACAAGAUGUUUAAGUUGCAUCCCACAGACUAAAGACAUCAGAAGAUAUCACACCACAAAAAUACCAGAUGAUCUCAGUAUACAGUGAAGAAAUCCCCAAGCACCAAGAAAAGAAAAGCUCACAAAAACCCCCUGAACUAAAGGGACUUGCGCUUCACUGACUGUGCCUGGCCAGCGCAGGAAAUAGUAAAUUGAAAGACACUACUCAACCUCAUUGUAUCUGUAUUGGGUGGUGGGAAGUAGCGAUCACCCAGAGCCCCACUGCUUACAGAUAACACCACAGUGGUGCAUUACAUCAACUGGAGGAGCCAGGUCUUCCCUGCCAUGUCAGGAAGCCAUACGCCUAUGGAUUUGGAGGAUUCACCAUAACAUCCCACCAUAGCUCUCCAUCUUCCAGGGCUUCAGAACACCCAGCCUGAUUGCCUCAGCAGAAAUGUCUCUGAGAAUCACAAGUGGUCCUCAGACUCUCUGUCCCCCGUGCUCUCUUCCACAGAUGGGAUUGAAGGAACCUCAGGAGGGCAGGAUUGUUUUCAUUUUCCUGAAGGUGGGACUUGACUUUCAAAAAUCUGGGAGACAGUAUAUAUGAGCCAGAAUGUGAAACCAGUCUAAUUUUAUGGUCAAACUGAGUGAAAUGCAAAGAAGCAAACAAAUGGUACAAAAAGGGUUAAAUAAGUUAGAUGUUUCUCUUGUGUUCGGGUUAAUAUAAGAUGCUGUUACUGACACAACUAAGAAUAAAUGUUUUAAAAUAUA